rnacentral:rRNA from 1 species
GAUGAACGCUGGCGGCGUGCCUAACACAUGCAAGUCGAGCGAAGCGAUUUAACGGAAGUUCUCGGAUGGAAGUUAAAUUGACUGAGCGGCGGACGGGUGAGUAACGCGUGGGUAACCUGCCUCAUACAGGGGGAUAACAGUUAGAAAUGACUGCUAAUACCGCAUAAGCGCACAGCAUCGCAUGAUGCAGUGUGAAAAACUCCGGUGGUAUGAGAUGGACCCGCGUCUGAUUAGCUAGUUGGUGAGGUAACGGCUCACCAAGGCGACGAUCUGUAGCUGGUCUGAGAGGACGACCAGCCACACUGGGACUGAGACACGGCCCAG